rnacentral:rRNA from 1 species
GACGAACGCUGGCGGCGUGCUUAACACAUGCAAGUCGAACGGAAAGGCCCUGCUCUUGUGGGGUGCUCGAGUGGCGAACGGGUGAGUAACACGUGAGUAACCUGCCCUUGACUUUGGGAUAACUUCACGAAACUGGGGCUAAUAUCGGACAGGAGAUCCUGCUCCAUGGUGGGGGUUGGACAGUUUCGGCCGUUGGGGAUGGACUCGCGGCUUGUCAGCUUGUUGGUGGGGUAGUGGCUUACCAAGGCUUUCACGGGUAGCCGGCCUGAGUGGGUGUCCGGCCACAUUGGGACUGAGAUACGACCCAGACUCGUACGGGAGGCAGCAGUGGGGAAUAGUGCACAAUGGGCGCAAGCCUGAUGCAGCGACGCCGCGUGCGUUAUGACGGCCUUCGGGUUGUAAACCGCUUUCGCCUGUGACGAAGCGUGAGUGACGGUAAUGGGUUAAGAAGCACCGGCUAACUACGUG